rnacentral:rRNA from 1 species
UACGGGGGGGGCAAGCGUUGUUCGGAAUUACUGGGCGUAAAGGGCGCGUAGGCGGCCUGCUAAGUCGGACGUGAAAUCCCUCGGCUCAACCGGGGAACUGCGUCCGAUACUGGAUGGCUUGAGUUCGGGAGAGGGAUGCGGAAUUCCAGGUGUAGCGGUGAAAUGCGUAGAUAUCUGGAGGAACACCGGUGGCGAAGGCGGCAUCCUGGACCGAUACUGACGCUGAGGCGCGAAAGCCAGGGGAGCAAACGGG